rnacentral:rRNA from 1 species
GAGUUUGAUCCUGGCUCAGGAUGAACGCUGGCGGCGUGCCUAAUACAUGCAAGUCGAGCGAACGGACGAGAAGCUUGCUUCUCUGAUGUUAGCGGCGGACGGGUGAGUAACACGUGGAUAACCUACCUAUAAGACUGGGAUAACUUCGGGAAACCGGAGCUAAUACCGGAUAAUAUUUUGAACCGCAUGGUUCAAAAGCGAAAGACGGUCUUGCUGUCACUUAUAGAUGGAUCCGCGCUGCAUUAGCUAGUUGGUAAGGUAACGGCUUACCAAGGCAACGAUGCAUAGCCGACCUGAGAGGGUGAUCGGCCACACUGGAACUGAGACACGGUCCAGACUCCUACGGGAGGCAGCAGUAGGGAAUCUUCCGCAAUGGGCGAAAGCCUGACGGAGCAACGCCGCGUGAGUGAUGAAGGUCUUCGGAUCGUAAAACUCUGUUAUUAGGGAAGAACAUAUGUGUAAGUAACUGUGCACAUCUUGACGGUACCUAAUCAGAAAGCCACGGCUAACUACGUCG